GCCAGCCGCCAGAUACCUUGUCUUAGCUGAAUUACUGAAGCUAAGCAGGUGUGGUUCUGGUUAGUACUUGGAUGAGAGAGCUCCUUGGAAAACUAGGUUGCCGCUGGAA
rnacentral:rRNA from 10 species